ensembl:lncRNA
UAUUUUAACUUAUUUUAUUUCACCUUAAUUUAUUUUUAUUUUAAUUUAUUUUUUAUUUUAUUUUUGUUUAUCUUAUGUUUUAUUUAAACAUUUUAUUUUUAUUUAUUUUAUUAUUUAUUUUUAUUUGGCCCAGCUUUAUUGAGAUAUAAUUGACAAACAAAAAUAAUGCCUAUUUAAGGCGUAGCCCAUGAUGAUUUAGGUCAUGUACACAUUGUGAGUGAUCAUCCCGGUCAAGCUGUUAAUUCCGUCGUCUCCCAUAGCCACCGUUUUCUUCCUUUCACUUUCUGUGGUGAGAGCCCUGAGGUCUGCUCCCUUGGGGAAUUUAAAGUGCACAACACAGCGGGGUUCCCUGGAGGCACCGUGGGACCCCCAGGACUCAUUCCUCUUAGAACUGGAGGUCGAGAGGCCGGCCCCGUGGCCGAGUGGUUGAGUUCACGUGCGCUCUGCUGCAGCGGCCCAGGGGUUGGCCGGUUCGAAUCCUGGGCGCGGACGUGGCACCGCUCGUCAGGCCACGCUGAGGCGGCGUCCCACAUGCCACAACUAGAAGGACCCACAACUAAAAUAUGCAACUACGUACUGGGGGGAUUUGGGGAGCAGAAGGAGGAAAAAAAAAAAAAAAAGAUUGGCAACAGCUGUUAGCUCGGGGGCCCAUCUUUAAAAAAAAAGAGAAAAAUCCAGAGGCGGGUCACCCUGUGACCAACCUGUCCCCACCUCCCCACCCUCCAGCCCCGGCCCCACCUCUCCCGGCUCUGCCACAGCGAGCGCCACUUUGUUGAGAUUUCGUCUUUAUUUGUGGACGUGGCAGCUGCUUUUCACAGGCUCCGCCCGGGCCGCGUUGACCCUGAGUCCUGCUCUGCCGCUGGCCGUGGGCAGACCUCUCUGGGCUGAAUCUGGGGCCCGGGCGUCCACCUCCUGGCGUCUGUUAGGAGCCACCCCGUGGGCAGCACCCUGGCUCCAAGGGACGUCUACAUCAAUGACGGGAUGUCACGGUACAAACUCGUGGUGACCCAGCGUCGGCCAGGCCUCCCGCGUGGCCUCGUUCAGCUCAGUGGCUUAUCCCUGACGCCAUUUGACUAGUAAGGAGGGUCAGGCUGGGGGCGUCUGUCCGUCCGUCUCUCCUGCCCCCGUACCUGUGCUCCUGUGUCUUCAUGUAGCCGCUGCUGGCGACUGAACGUGUGUGUCCCCAAAUUCACGUGUGGGAGCCCCAACCCUCAAUGAGAUGGGGUCACGAGGGUGGGGCCCCCAUGAAUGGGAUCAGUGCCCCCAUAAAGGACGCCCCGGAGAGCUCCCUGGCCCCGUCCACCACGUGAGGACACAGCGAGAAGGGGGCGUCUGUGAACCAGGAAGCGGGUCCCCCCCCGCCAGACACUGACCCGGCCACCUUGAUCGUGGACGUCCAGCCUCCAGAACCGGGGAAAAGAAAUGUCUUGUUUAAGCCGCUCCGUCUCGGGUAUUGAUUACAGCAGCCACCGAGGGGGGACUCCGGCAUUUGACGUCUCACUGGAUCUCGCCCCUCCUGGGAAAGUCAGUAGAUGCUACAAAGGAAGAAAGGGUCACCCCGCUGCCCAUCGCACGCCCAUGCCUUUUGGGGGCUUUUCCAAUAUGGCGGCAGGGGGCCCACUUCUUCUUUCCCUCUUGCCUGCGCUUCAGCAUGUUAUUUCCUCUCUGCCAAAGGCUUUUUGCAACUCGGAGACGAGGGAACAGAAACAGAACAGAAUAAUCGUUAAAACAAGGAACUGUGACCCGAACAACAUAGGUCCGGCUUCUAACCCCUGGAACCUAUGAUUGCAACCCCAUUGGGGAAAUAGGGUCUUGGCAGAGGCAAUCCACUUCAGGUGUUUGAAAAAGCCCGUUUUCGCACCGUGCGGUGUGUCUAAGAGACGCCUCUCACGGAAACGAGACAGACGGGUUCGGGAAUCCGUGCAGGCUCAUCUCGUUGUGACCUUUAGGAUGAAAUGAUAAUUAUUUCUUUUUAUCUUAUUUUAUUGAGCUAGAAUGGACAUCUCCCAUUCUGUUGGUUUCAGG